GCAGUGGUGGUUCAGUGGUAGAAUUCAUGCCUUCCACGCAGGAGACCCAGGUUGAAUUCCUGACCAGCGCA
rnacentral:tRNA from 1 species